rnacentral:rRNA from 1 species
GAUGAACGCUGGCGGCGUGCCUAAUACAUGCAAGUCGAGCGAACAGACGAGGCGCUUGCUCCUCUGACGUUAGCGGCGGACGGGUGAGUAACACGUGGAUAACCUACCUAUAAGACUGGGAUAACUUCGGGAAACCGGAGCUAAUACCGGAUAAUAUAUUGAACCGCAUGGUUCAAUAGUGCACGCCGGUUUUGCUGUCACUUAUAGAUGGAUCCGCGCCGCAUUAGCUAGUUGGUAAGGUAACGGCUUACCAAGGCAACGAUGCGUAGCCGACCUGAGAGGGUGAUCGGCCACACUGGAACUGAGACACGGUCCAGACUCCUACGGGAGGCAGCAGUAGGGAAUCUUCCGCAAUGGGCGAAAGCCUGACGGAGCAACGCCGCGUGAGUGAUGAAGGUCUUCGGAUCGUAAAACUCUGUUAUUAGGGAAGAACAAAUGUGUAAGUAACUAUGCACGUCUUGACGGUACCUAAUCAGAAAGCCACGGCUAACUACGUG